CGCCUUGCCAGCCCGCUCAGAAACGUUAAGGAAUGACGGGGGCCCGCACAAGCGGUGGAGCAUGUGGUUUAAUUCGAUGAUACGCGAGGAACCUUACCUGGGCUCAAAUGUAUGUUGACGUAUUCUGAAAGGGAUACUUCUUCGGACAAUAUACAAGGUGCUGCAUGGUUGUCGUCAGCUCGUGCCGUGAGGUGUCGGGUUAAGUCCCAUAACGAGCGCAACCCCUAUCAUUAGUUGCCAUCAGGUCAAGCUGGGGACUCUAAUGAAACUGCCUACGCAAGUAGUGAGGAAGGUGGGGAUGACGUCAAAUCAGCACGGCCCUUACGUCCAGGGCUACACACGUGCUACAAUGGUCGGUACAAAGGGUUGCCAAGCCGCGAGGUGGAGCUAAUCCCAUAAAACCGAUCGUAGUCCGGAUCGCAGUCUGCAACUCGACUGCGUGAAGUCGGAAUCGCUAGUAAUCGUGAAUCAGAAUGUCACGGUGAAUACGUUCCCGGGCCUU
rnacentral:rRNA from 1 species